GGUGCGGGUCUAUAAUGCAAGUCGAGCGGACAGAAGGGAGCUUGCUCCCGGAUGUUAGCGGCGGACGGGUGAGUAACACGUGGGUAACCUGCCUGUAAGACUGGGAUAACUCCGGGAAACCGGAGCUAAUACCGGAUAGUUCCUUGAACCGCAUGGUUCAAGGAUGAAAGACGGUUUCGGCUGUCACUUACAGAUGGACCCGCGGCGCAUUAGCUAGUUGGUGAGGUAACGGCUCACCAAGGCGACGAUGCGUAGCCGACCUGAGAGGGUGAUCGGCCACACUGGGACUGAGACACGGCCCAGACUCCUACGGGAGGCAGCAGUAGGGAAUCUUCCGCAAUGGACGAAAGUCUGACGGAGCAACGCCGCGUGAGUGAUGAAGGUUUUCGGAUCGUAAAGCUCUGUUGUUAGGGAAGAACAAGUGCAAGAGUAACUGCUUGCACCUUGACGGUACCUAACCAGAAAGCCACGGCUAACUACGUGCCAGCAGCCGCGGUAAUACGUAGGUGGCAAGCGUUGUCCGGAAUUAUUGGGCGUAAAGGGCUCGCAGGCGGUUUCUUAAGUCUGAUGUGAAAGCCCCCGGCUCAACCGGGGAGGGUCAUUGGAAACUGGGAAACUUGAGUGCAGAAGAGGAGAGUGGAAUUCCACGUGUAGCGGUGAAAUGCGUAGAGAUGUGGAGGAACACCAGUGGCGAAGGCGACUCUCUGGUCUGUAACUGACGCUGAGGAGCGAAAGCGUGGGGAGCGAACAGGAUUAGAUACC
rnacentral:rRNA from 1 species